rnacentral:lncRNA from 1 species
AGGUUGACUGUGCUAAACUUAACUUUCCUAAAUUUAUAUAACGUUUUACUGGAAGUAUCUAGUUUUUUAUUGCAUGAUAAGAGACUGAUUUGAUAGUGAAUUCUUUAUCUGGUUCUUGGAACCUUUAGGAAAUGUUUGUGAACUUUUCAUAAAGUUAUGUUCUGGGAUUUUUAAAAGUUUGCAGAAGUACUUUAUUUACAUUCUUUUAA